GGCUAGGAGCAGGAGCCAGAGGGAACCUCUUAGCUGCUGGCAGGAGGCUUGGAAGCCCAGCAGCUUUGAUUACAGAAGAAUGCACUGAUCUAGAGACCAAGGCAUGGAAGUAGGAAUGUCCCCACUUACCAAUGCUCUUGCUGAUCUUUUGGGAGACUUUGUACAACUCUUACCUCUGCAAGGUAUAGCCACCCAGGCAUGAGAAGCUCAUG